UUAUUCAAAAAGAAGGUCGUUAUAUAUAUUGUUAUAGGGGUACUAAACAAAAGGAAACGUUGAUACUAACGAAAGUUCAUUCGAGCAUUGGGGAAAGAAGGAAGGCCCUGUAGUUUUGGUAAGUUUAAAAGCUCAACGCUCAACGUUUAUAGGCUAUCAAAAAGGUAUAGUAAAAGAAUACAGGUGAAAAUAAUUUUGCAGUCCAGGGAAAGCACAGCAAGCUACCGGAUAAAAUCUGAUUCCUAAUUUUAGAUCUGACAAAAAGUAUUACCAUAGUUAUGCAGCCUUUUUCACCAGAUAUAAGUAAUGGACAAACUUACAUGAUAGUUGUUAUAACGUAAACAGAAAAUUGGAGCCAAAAUCAGCAUCUGACAUUUGAGCAGCGAGAUCACAAAGACUAUAACACUAGUCAAGAAUAGUUAUUACGAAGUGCUUGGUUUAUUUAUUGAAGUCCAAUUUUUAUAGACAGUAUCAUUAGUGGCUUGCAAUGUCGUUAUAAAAUCAUUGCAUUCGUUGGCAGUUGUCGUUCACUUUGUAAUAACCUGAAAUCAUUUAUGGAAGAAAAACCAAUCAA